rnacentral:rRNA from 1 species
UUUUUGGAGAGUUUGAUCCUGGCUCAGGAUGAACGCUGGCGGCGUGCUUAACACAUGCAAGUCGAACGGUGAAGCCCAGCUUGCUGGGUGGAUCAGUGGCGAACGGGUGAGUAACACGUGAGCAAUCUGCCCCUGACUCUGGGAUAAGCGCUGGAAACGGCGUCUAAUACUGGAUAUGAACCGUGGAGGCAUCUUCAACGGUUGGAAAGAUUUUUUGGUCAGGGAUGAGCUCGCGGCCUAUCAGCUUGUUGGUGAGGUAAUGGCUCACCAAGGCGUCGACGGGUAGCCGGCCUGAGAGGGUGACCGGCCACACUGGGACUGAGACACGGCCCAGACUCCUACGGGAGGCAGCAGUGGGGAAUAUUGCACAAUGGGCGCAAGCCUGAUGCAGCAACGCCGCGUGAGGGAUGACGGCCUUCGGGUUGUAAACCUCUUUUAGCAGGGAAGAAGCGAAAGUGACGGUACCUGCAGAAAAAGCGCCGGCUAACUACGUGCCAGCAGCCGCGGUAAUACGUAGGGCGCAAGCGUUAUCCGGAAUUAUUGGGCGUAAAGAGCUCGUAGGCGGUUUGUCGCGUCUGCUGUGAAAUCCCGAGGCUCAACCUCGGGUCUGCAGUGGGUACGGGCAGACUAGAGUGCGGUAGGGGAGAUUGGAAUUCCUGGUGUAGCGGUGGAAUGCGCAGAUAUCAGGAGGAACACCGAUGGCGAAGGCAGAUCUCUGGGCCGUAACUGACGCUGAGGAGCGAAAGGGUGGGGAGCAAACAGGCUUAGAUACCCUGGUAGUCCACCCCGUAAACGUUGGGAACUAGUUGUGGGGUCCAUUCCACGGAUUCCGUGACGCAGCUAACGCAUUAAGUUCCCCGCCUGGGGAGUACGGCCGCAAGGCUAAAACUCAAAGGAAUUGACGGGGACCCGCACAAGCGGCGGAGCAUGCGGAUUAAUUCGAUGCAACGCGAAGAACCUUACCAAGGCUUGACAUAUACGAGAACGCUGCAGAAAUGUAGAACUCUUUGGACACUCGUAAACAGGUGGUGCAUGGUUGUCGUCAGCUCGUGUCGUGAGAUGUUGGGUUAAGUCCCGCAACGAGCGCAACCCUCGUUCUAUGUUGCCAGCACGUAAUGGUGGGAACUCAUGGGAUACUGCCGGGGUCAACUCGGAGGAAGGUGGGGAUGACGUCAAAUCAUCAUGCCCCUUAUGUCUUGGGCUUCACGCAUGCUACAAUGGCCGGUACAAAGGGCUGCAAUACCGUAAGGUGGAGCGAAUCCCAAAAAGCCGGUCCCAGUUCGGAUUGAGGUCUGCAACUCGACCUCAUGAAGUCGGAGUCGCUAGUAAUCGCAGAUCAGCAACGCUGCGGUGAAUACGUUCCCGGGUCUUGUACACACCGCCCGUCAAGUCAUGAAAGUCGGUAACACCUGAAGCCGGUGGCCCAACCCUUGUGGAGGGAGCCGUCGAAGGUGGGAUCGGUAAUUAGGACUAAGUCGUAACAAGGUAGCCGUACCGGAAGGUGCGGCUGGAUCACCUCCUUU